rnacentral:rRNA from 1 species
GACGAACGCUGGCGGCGUGCUUAACACAUGCAAGUCGAACGGUGAAGCUCCAAGCUUGCUUGGGGUGGAUCAGUGGCGAACGGGUGAGUAACACGUGAGCAACCUGCCCCAGACUCCGGAAUAAGCGCUGGAAACGGCGUCUAAUACUGGAUAUGAGAUCAGUCCGCAUGGGCAUGGUCUGGAAAGUUUUUCGGUCUGGGAUGGGCUCGCGGCCUAUCAGCUUGUUGGUGAGGUAAUGGCUCACCAAGGCGACGACGGGUAGCCGGCCUGAGAGGGCGACCGGCCACACUGGGACUGAGACACGGCCCAGACUCCUACGGGAGGCAGCAGUGGGGAAUAUUGCACAAUGGGCGAAAGCCUGAUGCAGCGACGCCGCGUGAGGGAUGACGGCCUUCGGGUUGUAAACCUCUUUCAGCAGGGAAGAAGCGAAAGUGACGGUACCUGCAGAAGAAGCACCGGCUAACUACGUGCCAGCCGCCGCAGUAACAC